rnacentral:rRNA from 1 species
AGAGUUUGAUCCUGGCUCAGGAUGAACGCUGGCGGCGUGCCUAAUACAUGCAAGUCGAGCGAACAGAUAAGGAGCUUGCUCCUUUGACGUUAGCGGCGGACGGGUGAGUAACACGUGGGUAACUUACCUAUAAGACUGGAAUAACUCCGGGAAACCGGGGCUAAUGCCGGAUAACAUGUUGAACCGCAUGGUUCUACAGUGAAAGGCGGCUUUGCUGUCACUUAUAGAUGGACCCGCGCCGUAUUAGCUAGUUGGUGAGGUAACGGCUCACCAAGGCAACGAUACGUAGCCGACCUGAGAGGGUGAUCGGCCACACUGGAACUGAGACACGGUCCAGACUCCUACGGGAGGCAGCAGUAGGGAAUCUUCCGCAAUGGGCGAAAGCUGACGGAGCAACGCCGCGUGAGUGAUGAAGGUCUUCGGAUCGUAAAACUCUGUUAUUAGGGAAGAACAAAUGCGUAAGUAACUGUGCGCGUCUUGACGGUACCUAAUCAGAAAGCCACGGCUAACUACGUGCCAGCAGCCGCGGUAAUACGUAGGUGGCAAGCGUUAUCCGGAAUUAUUGGGCGUAAAGUGCGCGUAGGCGGUUUUUUAAGUCUGAUGUGAAAGCCCACGGCUCAACCGUGGAGGGUCAUUGGAAACUGAAAAACUUGAGUGCAGAAGAGGAAAGUGGAAUUCCAUGUGUAGCGGUGAAAUGCGCAGAGAUAUGGAGGAACACCAGUGGCGAAGGCGACUUUCUGGUCUGUAACUGACGCUGAUGUGCGAAAGCGUGGGGAUCAAACAGGAUUAGAUACCCUAGUAGUCC